CGGAGGGUGCGAGCGUUGUCCGGAAUCACUGGGCGUAAAGGGCGCGUAGGCGGCCUGGUAAGUAGGGGGUGAAAUCCUGCGGCUUAACCGCAGGGCUGCCUUCUAAACUGUCAGGCUGGAGCACAGUAGAGGCAGGUGGAAUUCCCGGUGUAGCGGUGGAAUGCGUAGAGAUCGGGAAGAACAUCAGUGGCGAAGGCGGCCUGCUGGGCUGUUGCUGACGCUGAGGCGCGACAGCGUGGGGAGCAAACAGGAUUAGAUACCCUGGUAGUCCACGCCGUAAACGAUGGGCACUAGGCGUCGGGGGGAGCGACCCUCCCGGUGCCGUCGCUAACGCAGUAAGUGCCCCGCCUGGGGAGUACGGCCGCAAGGCUG
rnacentral:rRNA from 1 species